rnacentral:rRNA from 1 species
CCCUUAGAUGUCCUGGGCCGCACGCGCGUUACACUGAUGCAUUCAACGAGCUUAUAACCUUGGCCGAGAGGCCUGGGCAAUCUUGUUAACGUGCAUCGUGAUAGGGAUAGAUUGUUGAAAUUAUUAAUCUUGAACGAGGAAUUCCUAGUAAACGCAGAUCAUCAAUCUGCAUUGAUUACGUCCCUGCCCUUUGUACACACCGCCCGUCGCACCUACCGAUUGGAUGGUCCGGUGAAGCCUCGGGAUUGUGGUUCUUGCCGCUUUAUUGUGGCGUGACCGCGAGAACUUGUCUAAACCUUAUUAUCUAGAGGAAGGUGAAGUCGUAACA